CUACGGGAGGCUGCAGUGGGGAAUAUUGCACAAUGGAGGAAACUCUGAUGCAGCAACGCCGCGUGGAGGAUGACACUUUUCGGAGCGUAAACUCCUUUUAUAUAGGAAGAAGAUGACGGUACUAUAUGAAUAAGCGCCGGCUAACUCCGUGCCAGCAGCCGCGGUAAUACGGAGGGCGCAAGCGCUACUCGGAAUCACUGGGCGUAAAGAGCGUGUAGGCGGAUUAUAAAGUCAGAAGUGAAAUCCUAUAGCUUAACUAUAGAACUGCUUCUGAAACUCUUAAUCUAGAAUAUGGGAGAGGUAGAUGGAAUUUCUGGUGUAGGGGUAAAAUCCGUAGAGAUCAGAAGGAAUACCGAUUGCGAAGGCGAUCUACUAGAACAUUAUUGACGCUGAGACGCGAAAGCGUGGGGAGCAAACAGGAUUAGAUACCCCCGUAGUC
rnacentral:rRNA from 1 species